rnacentral:rRNA from 1 species
UACGUAGGGUGCAAGCGUUGUCCGGAAUUAUUGGGCGUAAAGAGCUCGUAGGCGGUCUGUCACGUCGGAUGUGAAAACUCGGGGCUCAACCCCGAGCCUGCAUUCGAUACGGGCAGACUUGAGUUCGGCAGGGGAGACUGGAAUUCAUGGUGUAGCAGUGAAAUGCGUAGAGAUCAUGAGGAAGACCAGUGGCGAAGGCGGGUCUCUGGACAGUUCCUGACACUGAGACACGAAGGCCAGGGGAGCAAACGGG